rnacentral:tRNA from 2 species
AUUUAUAUAGUUUAAAAAAAACAUUAUAUUUUCAAUAUAAAAAUAAUUAUAUUUAAUUUAUAAAUA